rnacentral:rRNA from 1 species
UUAUUUAGGGUGACACUAGUGAUUUUGAAAGGGAAACGAUUGAAGCCAGUCGUACCGACGGGAAAUCAACUUCUUGAGCGCUUGUCGUGGGUGACGUGGAGCUUCACGGCCUUCGUUGCUUUGCGUUAUGGUGCUUUUUGGGUGUACUUUUCCGUAUGGUAGGUCAAUAUCGAUUUUAGUCGUCAUAAAAUGAUCGGAGGAAUGUGGCUUCGAUCUCGUAUCGGAGUGUUAUAGCCUUUGGUAGAUGUGACGAUUGGGAUCGAGGAUUGCAACGAAUACCCUUUGGGCUAUCCGUCUGACCUCUGAAAGUCGCUCGGGUGUUGAAAGCGUGCUUACGACAUUCUAGUUGGCGGUCAAAAGGUUAGAACGCGAUUACAUUCGUUAAGGAGGUUGACGGAAAUCAC